rnacentral:rRNA from 1 species
GGAGGAUGACGGCCUUCGGAUUGUAAACUCCUGUCAUCUGGGAGUAAGACCUGGCUGUUAAUAGCAGACAGGGUUGAUAGUACCAGGAGAGGAAGGGACGGCUAACUUCCUGCCAGCCGCCGCGGUAAUACCAAGGUCCCGAGCGUUGUUCGGAAUCACUGGGCGUAAAGGGAGCGUAGGCGGCCGCGGUAAGGUCAGAUGUGGAAAUCCCGGGGCUCAACCCCGGAACUGCAUCCGAUACUGCCGUGCUAGAGGAUUGGAGAGGUAGCUGGAAUUCUUGGUGUAGCAGUGAAAUGCGUAGAUAUCAAGAGGAACACUCGUGGCGAAAGCGAGCUACUGGACAACUCCUGACGCUGAGGCUCGAAGGCUAGGGUAGCGAAAGGGAUUAGAUACCCCUGUAGUCCUGGCAGUAAACGGUGCACGCUUGGUGUGAGGGGAAUCGACCCCCCUUGUGCCGGAGCUAACGCGUUAAGCGUGCCGCCUGGGAAGUACGGUCGCAAGACUAAAACUCAAAGAAAUUGACGGGGACCCGCACAAGCGGUGGAGUAUGUGGCUUAAUUCGAUGCAACACGAAGAACCUUACCAAGGCUUGACAUGGAUUUCUAAGCACGUGAAAGCGUGUGACCCUUCGGGGAACUUCCACAGGUGCUGCAUGGCCGUCGUCAGCUCGUGUCGUGAGAUGUUGGGUUAAGUCCCGCAACGAGCGCAACCCUGUGAUUAGUUGCCAGCACGUUAUGGUGGGAACUCUAAUCAGACUGCCCAGAUCAACUGGGAGGAAGGUGGGGACGACGUCAGGUCAGUAUGGCCCUUACGCCUUGGGCUGCACACGUACUACAAUGCCCAGCACAAUGAGAACCGAUACCGCGAGGUGGAGGAAAUCUAUAAAACCGGUCUCAGUUCGGAUUGGAGUCUGCAACUCGACUCCAUGAAGUUCGAAUCGCUAGUAAUCGUGGAUCAGAACGCUACGUGAGUACGUUCCGGGCCUUGUACACACCGC